rnacentral:rRNA from 1 species
GAUCCUGGCUCAGGACGAACGCUGACGGCGUGCUUAACACAUGCAAGUCGAACGAGAAUCUACUGAAUGAGUUUUCGGACAAUGGAAGUAGAGGAAAGUGGCGGACGGGUGAGUAACGCGUGAGGAACCUGCCUUGAAGAGGGGGACAACAGUUGGAAACGACUGCUAAUACCGCAUGAUGCAUAAGGGUCGCAUGAUUCUUAUGCCAAAGAUUUAUCGCUUCAAGAUGGCCUCGCG